rnacentral:rRNA from 1 species
GCAUAGCCGUAAACUUUGAUGAACUAUUACAUUAUCAUUCGCCAGGGUACUACGAGCACCAGCUUAAAACCCAAAGGACUUGGCGGUGCUUUAGACCCACCUAGAGGAGCCUGUUCUAGAACCGAUAACCCCCGUUAAACCUCACCCUCCCUUGUUCUUUCCGCCUAUAUACCGCCGUCGUCAGCUUACCCUGUGAAGGACAAAUAGUAAGCAAAACCAGUAACACUCAAAACGUCAGGUCGAGGUGUAGCAUAUGAGAGGGGAAGAAAUGGGCUACAUUCCUUGCUUCAAGGAAAACGGAUAAUAUAAUGAAACGUGUAUUAGAAGGAGGAUUUAGCAGUAAGCAGUAAAUAGAGAGUUCUGCUGAAACUGGCCCUGAAGCGCGC